GGCUGGUCCAAAGGCAGUGAGUUAUCUCAAAUGGUUCACAGUCAAUUACAGAUCGAACUCCUUGUUCUACUCUUUUCCCAUCUCUCACUACUGCACUUGACUAGUCUUAA
ensembl:Y_RNA Y_RNA Y RNA